rnacentral:rRNA from 1 species
UACGGGGGGCAGCAGUGAGGAAUAUUGGUCAAUGGGCGGAAGCCUGAACCAGCCAAGUCGCGUGAGGGAUUAAGGCCCUGCGGGUCGUAAACCUCUUUUGCCGGGGAGCAGUGGUCCGGACGCGUCCGGACCGGGAGAGUACCCGGAGAAAAAGCAUCGGCUAACUCCGUGCCAGCAGCCGCGGUAAUACGUAGGGGGCAAGCGUUAUCCGGAUUUACUGGGUGUAAAGGGAGCGUAGACGGUGCGCCAAGUCUGGAGUGAAAUGCCGCAGCUUAACUGCGGAACUGCUUUGGAGACUGGCGAACUAGAGUGCGGGAGGGGUAAGAGGAAUUCCUAGUGUAGCGGUGAAAUGCGUAGAUAUUAGGAGGAACACCGGUGGCGAAGGCGGCUUACUGGACCGUAACUGACGUUGAGGCUCGAAAGCGUGGGGAGCAAACAGGAUUAGAUACCCGAGUAGUC